CCUGGGGCCAAUGGGGGCGCGCGCGGCCCGGCUCUGCCCGGCAACCGACGCCCCCUGUCUGCCCAGCGCGCUGGCCCCUCGGUGAAGUGGGCUCCCGGGGCCGCGGUUCCCAGGUGGGGCCUCUGCGCUGCGCGCCCCGGGAACUUGUUGGAAAUCCAAGCCUUCGCCCCAGCCCAGACUCGCUGAAUAGAAACUCCAGCAGUCUGUGCUAACAAGCCCGGGUAAAUCGGGUGAGCGCGAGUCUGCGAGCCGCUGGGCUAGGGGACAGCGGGGACGGGUCGCCGCCCGUGACGAGUGCGGCCCGCCGCUCAGACCCUGGAUUCCGAACGGCGCUCGGACCGCGUGACCCGCGUCCGGCCAGCUUACAACUGCGGAGACAGACUGCGAGGAGCAGAGACCCCGCGAAGGUCACGACCGGCAGGUCCGGGCUCGGUGGGUUCUCCGGCCGCAGCCGCCCUCCUCCUUCUGCGGAAGGUUUGUCUACACUCGCUAGCCUGCCUCUCCGCUCCAGUUCACUCCUCGGUUCGGGACAAGGAGGCUGCGUUAGUCCAGCUCGCCCGUGACCUUCACUUCUGAAUCCACAUCCUCUCUGGGUCUUAUUAACACCGUGCGUUUGUUCCGGACUGUCGCCUUGGAAUACUAUCCACGCCCCCACCCACCAGGUGCCUGCGUCCUGGGCCCAUCCCUUACUGGUUGCAUCCACAGGGGCCCAAAUCUGCAGUCUGUGGGACCUCAGCUGGGCACCAGAGCUUCCUGGUGCCUCCUAGUACAGGGUGCUGGGUGUCCCUGGAGAACCACAUGGACACAGUCCCUAUGGUCAUAGGACCCAUAUUCUCCCUAGAGAUGGACACAGAGAAACCUGUUGACAGCCCACCUCUCACCUACUUAGGGUGCUGUGAACUCUCCGUCCUAAUAAAA